AAAGUCGUAACAAGGUUUCCGUAGGUGAACCUGCGGAAGGAUCAUUAUCGUAGGGCUUCGGCCCUGUCGAGAUAGAACCCUUGCCUUUUUGAGUACCUUUCGUUUCCUCGGCAGCCUCGGCUGCCAAUGGGGACCCCAAAAAACCUUUUGCAAUCUUAGUAUAACAAUCUGAAAACAAACAAUUUUAAAACUUUCAACAAUGGAUCUCUUGGCUCUG
rnacentral:misc_RNA from 1 species